GAUGAACGCUGGCGGCGUGCCUAAUACAUGCAAGUCGAGCGAACAGACGAGGAGCUUGCUCCUCUGACGUUAGCGGCGGACGGGUGAGUAACACGUGGAUAACCUACCUAUAAGACUGGGAUAACUUCGGGAAACCGGAGCUAAUACCGGAUAAUAUAUUGAACCGCAUGGUUCAAUAGUGAAAGACGGUUUUGCUGUCACUUAUAGAUGGAUCCGCGCCGCAUUAGCUAGUUGGUAAGGUAACGGCUUACCAAGGCAACGAUGCGUAGCCGACCUGAGAGGGUGAUCGGCCACACUGGAACUGAGCCACGGUCCAGACUCCUACGGGAGGCAGCAGUCGGGAAUCUUCCGCAAUGGGCGAAAGCCUGACGGAGCAACGCCGCGUGAGUGAUGAAGGUCUUCGGAUCGUAAAACUCUGUUAUUAGGGAAGAACAAAUGUGUAAGUAACUAUGCACGUCUUGACGGUACCUAAUCAGAAAGCAACGGCUAACUACGUG
rnacentral:rRNA from 1 species